rnacentral:rRNA from 1 species
CGGGGGGGGCAAGCGUUGUUCGGAAUUACUGGGCGUAAAGGGCUCGUAGGUGGCCAACUAAGUCGGACGUGAAAUCCCUCGGCUUAACCGGGGAACUGCGUCCGAUACUGGAUGGCUUGAGUUUGGGAGAGGGAUGCGGAAUUCCAGGUGUAGCGGUGAAAUGCGUAGAUAUCUGGAGGAACACCGGUGGCGAAGGCGGCAUCCUGGACCAACACUGACACUGAGGAGCGAAAGCCAGGGGAGCAAACGGGAUUAGAUACCCCGGUAGUCCUGGCCCUAAACGAUGAAUGCUUGGUGUGGCGGGUAUCGAUCCCUGCCGUGCCGAAGCUAACGCAUUAAGCAUUCCGCCUGGGGAGUACGGUCGCAAGGCUG